rnacentral:rRNA from 1 species
GACGAACGCUGGCGGCGUGCUUAACACAUGCAAGUCGAGCGAUGAAAGCCUUAUGAACUAUUCGUAGUGAUUGGGGCCGGAUUAGCGGCGGACGGGUGAGUAACGCGUGAGCAACCUGCCUUAAACAACGGGAUAGCCUCGGGAAACCGGGAUUAAUACCGUAUGAGACCCCGCCUUCACAUGAAGAAGAGGUUAAAGAUUUAUCGGUUUAAGAUGGGCUCGCGUCUGAUUAGCUAGUUGGUGAGAUAAAAGCCCACCAAGGCAACGAUCAGUAACCGGCUUGAGAGAGUUAACGGUCACAUUGGAACUGAGACACGGUCCAAACGCCUACGGGAGGCAGCAGUGGGGAAUAUUGCACAAUGGGGGAAACCCUGAUGCAGCGACGCCGCGUGAGCGAUGAAGGAAUUCGUUUCGUAAAGCUCUGUCCAAGGGGAAGAUAAUGACAGUACCCUUGGAGGAAGCCCCGGCUAAAUACGUGCCAGCCGCCGCGGUAAAAC